CAGUUAACUAGGGUUGAGGAACUUGCUUAUGCAAAUUCAGGUUUUCCUCAUUGGAGGGCCCCAUUACCCACGUGGGCCUCACAGUGAGAACUGAGAAGGUUUCCAGGCAAACAAGGGUCCUUGGUGGUGGAAAGAAGAACUCCCCAUUGGUGUGUGAAAAAGAAAGGCUUUCUCAGCUUGAUAAUCCACCCUCCUUACCAUAGGAUUCCAAGGCUGCGGUGAAAGCAUGUCAGUGUUAUUCUUGAUGUGCAUUCAAAGGCAUUAAAGCCUCAAGUCGAAAUUCUUUGCUACCUGGAGAAUCUUUAUGCACAAGUGGAAACCCUUCCAUCAAGACACCAUGGCGACCCUCCCACAGACUUUUCUGUGAUGGUGCAGUGGAGAUUGGGAGGAUCUGGAUCGACUUAAUCCUUGCUGGCCAUGGGCUUUAACCCUCACCUCAGCAUGCAUACCCCCCUCUCUAUCCCCCGGGUUUCUGAAGAUAAAUGGGCAGAAUCUUUUAGGGUGCCAAGGACAGGACUGCGAACAGAUGGACUAAAACCAUGGCCUCAUCUUCCAGCGGAAAAAUAAGAGCCGGCUUCAUCUCAGUCAAAGGAUUUUCUGAACUGACCAUGAAGUAAGCGUCCCUUUAUCUGCAAGGCUACUGGUGAACAUGUGGUUCUUUCUUGUUCUAUGGAACCAAUGGAAAUUACUGCUUCCCUACGUCUGCACUUGGUUCUUCCUGUUUGCCUAUUUCUAUGGAAAAAUAUGUAUGCAUACAUAUAUUUACACAUAUGUUUGUACAUGUAUAUACAUAUAUGUAUCUGUAUAUGUACAUAACUAUACAAUCAUAUAUUACACACACACACAUUCUGACUACACAAAGCACACUCUUUCACAUCAUCUUCCCCUUCUUCUGAAUCCUGCUUUUUCUCACUAUACUUUCUUCUCAUUUGCAUAUAAAACAUUCCCCUCCAUGAGGGCCUGUACCCCCUUGGCCCAUCAUUAGACUGAAAUAUCGGCCCAGACUUGACGGCAUUCCUCACAGAAGACAAGAACCCUUUCCGUGUUUCUUCGGUUCACGCCUAGCUUCUCUUCCUCUGUCUUUACAUUUUCACCAACAGACUCCCACACAAGCUCUUCCAACAAAAUGCUUGCUGUGUAAUACCCUUCCUGGUGAGUGAGUUUUGAAAUGUGAGAUGCUACAGGCUUAGAGCCAAUUCCAUCCACUCUGGUACUUCCCCAGUUUGUGGGUUCUCUCUCCCUCCCCCCCCUCUCUAAUUUGGAUAUCACAUGAGAGUCACAGGCAAAGUAAAAAUUGGGGAAGGUGGGUAAAGUGUGGUAGCAGGCAAUGUAUGCCAAAGAAAGAAUUCCAAAGGGUAUAGGUAAAACUGACAAGGGGACAUUGGCUUCUGUGUGAGCUCAGGCUUUUGUUGUUGUUGUUUGUGGUGUCUUUUUGUUGGUUUUUGUUUUUCCCAUGCUGUGACAGAGCUCUCCCUUGGCUUGGCACACUGCUGUUUAAUAAAUCCCACAGUCAUAAAAACA